UCAAUUAACUUCACAUUUAUUAAUAUUAAAUAAAAAAAUAUUUAAACAUCACUAUCAGCUUAAUUAAGUUUUUAGAAAAUAACGGUUAUUUCGUAUUAUUUAAUAUAGUAUCAGAGUAGGGUUCCUGAAUUCUAAUCACGUCAGACUCCUAAUAUUAUUAAUUCCUCUCAUUUAAUUCAAAUUCAUAUCAUGCGCCUAGUAAAUUCGAGCCCAAACAUGAUUUUUUAUUUUAAACAUCAUUCUCUAUCAGUUUAAGUUUUUAAAAAAUAAUAGUUGUUUCUGUCGGAUCGUUGGUGCUAACCAUUAAUUCCAAAAGCUCGAGUCACGUCAGACUACUAAUAUUAUUAAUUCCUCCUAUUUAAUUCAAAUUCAUGUCAUGUGCUUAGUUAAAAGUUUCGAGCGCAAACAUGAUUUUAUAUUUUAAAUAUCAUUAUCUAUCAGUUUAAGUUUUUAGAAAAUAAUGAUUGUUUCUGUCAGAUCGUUGGCGCUAACCAUUAAUCCCAAAAGCUCGCAUGGCCUCCUGCUACAGGACAGAAUGCUAGCCCAUUUAAGCCAACAAUCCCCCCUCCAGCAUCCGGAUAUAUUUGCAGCAUGCGAAAAUUGAACCCAUGAGCUCUGUCUCGGAUACCACUUGUCAGAUCGUUGGCGCUAACCAUUAAUCCCAAAAGCUCGAGCUGUUAGAAAUACACAACCAAUUAACUUAAAGCGUGCAGAUAUAACGCCCCCAGAUCACAAUUGUGACUCGGCCCAUCCGGCCUCAUGCCACUUCAAAUAUGACUCGGCCUACCCAGUCUUACGCCAUUUCGAAGAUGACUCGCCUCAACAUGGCCUUCUGCCACAGGACAGAAUGCUAGCCCAUUUAAGCCAAUAGUUUUGUAUUAUUUAACAAUUAAU
rnacentral:lncRNA from 1 species